rnacentral:rRNA from 1 species
AGCAAACGCUGGCGGCGUGCCUAAUACAUGCAAGUCGAACGGGGAAAGUAGCAAUACGAGUACUAGUGGCGCACGGGUGAGGAACACGUGGGUAAUCUGCCUUCGAGCGGGGGAUAACUAAUCGAAAGAUUGGCUAAUACCGCAUAAGACCACAAGAUCUGCGGAUCUAGGGGUCAAAGCCGCAAGGCACUUGAAGAUGAGCCCGCGUAAGAUUAGCUAGUUGGUGAGGUAACGGCUCACCAAGGCGAUGAUCUUUAGCUGGUCUGCGAGGAUGAUCAGCCACACUGGAACUGAGACACGGACCAGACUCCUACGGGAGGCAGCAGUAGGGAAUAUUGAGCAAUGGGGGCAACCCUGACGCAGCGACGCCGCGUGAGUGAUGAAGGCCUUCGGGUCGUAAAGCUCUGUUAUAUGGGAAUAAGAUCUGAAUGUACCAUGUGAGAAAGGAUCGGCUAACUUCGUGCCAGCAGCCGCGGUAA